GGAGUCUGGGCCGUAUCUCAGUCCCAAUGUGUCCGAUUACCCUCUAAGGCCGGAUACCUGUCAUUGCCUUGGUGGGCCUUUACCUCACCAACUAGCUGAUAGGACGCAGGCCGUUCCUCGAGCGGAGCAAAAGCUCCUUUCCAGUAUGGCUUCCAAGACCACACUUCACAUCCGGUAUUACCCGGUAUUUCUACCGGCUAUCCCCGUCUCAAGGGUACGUCACCCACGUGUUACUCACCAGUCCGCCACUCUCACAUCCAGCAAGCUGGAUGAUCCCGUUCGACUUGCAUGCUUAAGACGCGCCGCCAGCGUUCGUU
rnacentral:rRNA from 1 species